rnacentral:rRNA from 1 species
UACGUAGGGAGCAAGCGUUGUUCGGAUUUACUGGGCGUAAAGGGCGCGUAGGCGGCCACUGCAAGUCAGUUGUGAAAUCUCCGGGCUUAACCCGGAAAGGUCAACUGAUACUGCAGGGCUAGAGUGCAGAAGGGGCAACUGGAAUUCUCGGUGUAGCGGUGAAAUGCGUAGAUAUCGAGAGGAACACCUGCGGCGAAGGCGGGUUGCUGGGCUGACACUGACGCUGAUGUGCGAAAGCCAGGGGAGCGAACGGG